AACGAACGCUGGCGGCAUGCCUAACACAUGCAAGUCGAACGAGACCUUCGGGUCUAGUGGCGCACGGGUGCGUAACGCGUGGGAACCUGCCCUUAGGUUCGGAAUAACUCCCCGAAAGGGGUGCUAAUACCGGAUAAUGUCUUCGGACCAAAGAUUUAUCGCCUUUGGAUGGGCCCGCGUUGGAUUAGCUAGUUGGUAGGGUAAAAGCCUACCAAGGCGACGAUCCAUAGCUGGUCUGAGAGGAUGAUCAGCCACACUGGGACUGAGACACGGCCCAGACUCCUACGGGAGGCAGCAGUGGGGAAUAUUGGACAAUGGGCGAAAGCCUGACCAAGCAAUGCCGCGUGAGUGAUGAAGGCCUUAGGGUUGUAAAGCUCUUUUACCCGGGAUGAUAAUGACAGUACCGGGAGAAUAAGCUCCGGCUAACUCCGUG
rnacentral:rRNA from 1 species